GGCGGAGGGUGAGUAAUGCCUAGGAAUCUGCCUGGUAGUGGGGGAUAACGUUCGGAAACGGACGCUAAUACCGCAUACGUCCUACGGGAGAAAGCAGGGGACCUUCGGGCCUUGCGCUAUCAGAUGAGCCUAGGUCGGAUUAGCUAGUUGGUGAGGUAAUGGCUCACCAAGGCGACGAUCCGUAACUGGUCUGAGAGGAUGAUCAGUCACACUGGAACUGAGACACGGUCCAGACUCCUACGGGAGGCAGCAGUGGGGAAUAUUGGACAAUGGGCGAAAGCCUGAUCCAGCCAUGCCGCGUGUGUGAAGAAGGUCUUCGGAUUGUAAAGCACUUUAAGUUGGGAGGAAGGGUUGUAGAUUAAUACUCUGCAAUUUUGACGUUACCGACAGAAUAAGCACCGGCUAACUCUGUGCCAGCAGCCGCGGUAAUACAGAGGGUGCAAGCGUUAAUCGGAAUUACUGGGCGUAAAGCGCGCGUAGGUGGUUUGUUAAGUUGGAUGUGAAAUCCCCGGGCUCAACCUGGGAACUGCAUUCAAAACUGACUGACUAGAGUAUGGUAGAGGGUGGUGGAAUUUCCUGUGUAGCGGUG
rnacentral:rRNA from 1 species